rnacentral:rRNA from 1 species
UAGUGGCGAACGGGUGAGUAACACGUGGGCAAUCUGCCCUUCACUCUGGGACAAGCCCUGGAAACGGGGUCUAAUACCGGAUAACACUUCCGUCCUCCUGGACGGUGGUUAAAAGCUCCGGCGGUGAAGGAUGAGCCCGCGGCCUAUCAGCUUGUUGGUGAGGUAAUGGCUCACCAAGGCGACGACGGGUAGCCGGCCUGAGAGGGCGACCGGCCACACUGGGACUGAGACACGGCCCAGACUCCUACGGGAGGCAGCAGUGGGGAAUAUUGCACAAUGGGCGAAAGCCUGAUGCAGCGACGCCGCGUGAGGGAUGACGGCCUUCGGGUUGUAAACCUCUUUCAGCAGGGAAGAAGCGAAAGUGACGGUACCUGCAGAAGAAGCGCCGGCUAACUACGUGCCAGCAGCCGCGGUAAUACGUAGGGCGCAAGCGUUGUCCGGAAUUAUUGGGCGUAAAGAGCUCGUAGGCGGCUUGUCACGUCGGGUGUGAAAGCCCGGGGCUUAACCCCGGGUCUGCAUUCGAUACGGGCUAGCUAGAGUGUGGUAGGGGAGAUCGGAAUUCCUGGUGUAGCGGUGAAAUGCGCAGAUAUCAGGAGGAACACCGGUGGCGAAGGCGGAUCUCUGGGCCAUUACUGACGCUG